rnacentral:rRNA from 1 species
CAUUAGUAGAGAAGCGUGUGAGCCAGCUGCCAAGAAAAGCCGCUAUUGUUUCAUAAGUACCCGUACCGUAAACCGACACAGGUGGAUGAGGAGAGAAUCCUAAGGCCGGCGGGAGAAGUGUUGUUAAGGAACUCGGCAAAAUGACUCCGUAACUUCGGGAGAAGGAGUGCCACAGAGAUGUGGCCGCAGAGAAAUGGCCCAAGCAACUGUUUAGCAAAAACACAGGUCUAUGCAAAACCGAAAGGUGAGGUAUAUGGGCUGACGCCUGCCCGGUGCUGGAAGGUUAAGAGGAGAGGUUAGAGCAAUCGAAGCUUUGAAUUUAAGCCCCAGUAAACGGCGGCCGUAACAAUAACGGUCCUAGGUAGCGAAAUUCCUUGUCGGGUAAGUUCCGACCCGCACGAAAGGCGUAAAGGAUUUGGGCACUGUCUCAACAACACACCCGGUGAAAUUGAAAUACCAGUGAAGAUGCUGGUUACCUGCGCCAGGACGGAAAGACCCCAUGGAGCUUUACUCCAGUUUGAUACUGGGAUUCGGUACUGUCUGUACAGGAUAGGUGGGAGGCUAGGAAAUGGUGACGCCAGUUGCCAUGGAGCCAACCUUGGGAUACCACCCUUACAGUACUGGGUUUCUAACCUGCAGCCGUAACCCGGCUGGGGGACAAUGUCUGACGGGGAGUUUGACUGGGGCGGUCGCCUCCGAAAGAGUAUCGGAGGCGCUCAAAGGUUCCCUCAGAACGGUUGGAAACCGUUCGAAGAGUGCAAAGGCAGAAGGGAGCUUGACUGCGACACCGACGGGUGGAGCAGAUACGGAAGUAGGACUUAGUGAUCCGGUGGUAUAAAGUGGGAUUGCCAUCGCUCAACGGAUAAAAGCUACCCUGGGAUAACAGGCUUAUCACUCCCAAGAGUUCACAUCGACGGAGUGGUUUGGCACCUCGAUGUCGGCUCAUCGCAUCCUGGAGCUGUAGCAGGUUCCAAGGGUUGGGCUGUUCGCCCAUUAAAGCGGUACGCGAGCUGGGUUCAGAACGUCGUGAGACAGUUCGGUCCCUAUCCGGCGUGGGCGUAGGAUAUUUGAGAGGAGCUGUCCUUAGUACGAGAGGACCGGGAUGGACAAACCUCUGGUGUAUCUGUUGUUUUACCAAAGGCAUGGCAGAGUAGCCAAGUUUGGCAGGGAUAAACGCUGAAGGCAUCUAAGCGUGAAGCCCCCCUCAAGAUAAGAUAUCCCAUCUUCGGAGUAAGACCCCUUGAAGACUACAAGGUUGAUAGGCUUCAGGUGUAAGUGCGGUAACGCACUCAGCUGAGAAGUACUAAUAGGUCGAGGACUUACCAAA